rnacentral:rRNA from 1 species
UACGUAGGGGGCUAGCGUUGUCCGGAUUUAUUGGGCGUAAAGAGCGUGUAGGCGGCCAGGUAGGUCUGCUGUGAAAACUCGAGGCUCAACCUCGAGACGUCGGCGGAAACCAUCUGGCUAGAGUCCGGAAGAGGAGAGUGGAAUUCCUGGUGUAGCGGUGAAAUGCGCAGAUAUCAGGAAGAACACCUAUGGCGAAGGCAGCUCUCUGGGACGGUACUGACGCUGAGGAGCGAAAGCGUGGGGAGCGAACAGG